rnacentral:misc_RNA from 1 species
UAUUGUUUUAUGUACAUACUUCAACUGAUUUUUGCAUUUUGUCAUCAUAUACUAUAAAUUUGUGGUAUAACUGAGAGUUGUUUAGAACAAGGAUUGGUUAGAAACUGAACUUUUGGUUGUUAAAAGGUUGAGGUUUUUUGAAAAAAGAUUGAGUCUUUUUGUUGUUGUUGAUUUGAGUUACUCUUUUAAAGGAAAAAGAUUGAGUCUUUUUGUUAUUCUUGAUUUGGGUAUUUCUUAUAAGGGAAAAAGAUUGAGUUUUUUUUUUGUUAUUGUUGAUUUGGG